CAGUCGAGCGGAACGAGUUAUCUGAACCUUCGGGGGACGAUAACGGCGUCGAGCGGCGGACGGGUGAGUAAUGCCUAGGAAAUUGCCCUGAUGUGGGGGAUAACCAUUGGAAACGAUGGCUAAUACCGCAUGAUGCCUACGGGCCAAAGAGGGGGACCUUCGGGCCUCUCGCGUCAGGAUAUGCCUAGGUGGGAUUAGCUAGUUGGUGAGGUAAGGGCUCACCAAGGCGACGAUCCCUAGCUGGUCUGAGAGGAUGAUCAGCCACACUGGAACUGAGACACGGUCCAGACUCCUACGGGAGGCAGCAGUGGGGAAUAUUGCACAAUGGGCGCAAGCCUGAUGCAGCCAUGCCGCGUGUGUGAAGAAGGCCUUCGGGUUGUAAAGCACUUUCAGUCGUGAGGAAGGUAGUGUAGUUAAUAGCUGCAUUAUUUGACGUUAGCGACAGAAGAAGCACCGGCUAACUCCGUGCCAGC
rnacentral:rRNA from 2 species